rnacentral:rRNA from 1 species
UACAGAGGUCUCAAGCGUUGUCCGGAAUUAUUGGGCGUAAAGAGCUCGUAGGCGGUGUGUCGCGUCGGCCGUGAAAACCUGCAGCUUAACUGUGGGCUUGCGGUCGAUACGGGCAUCACUGGAGUUCGGCAGGGGAGACUGGAAUUCCUGGUGUAGCGGUGAAAUGCGCAGAUAUCAGGAGGAACACCGGUGGCGAAGGCGGGUCUCUGGGCCGAUACUGACG